rnacentral:rRNA from 1 species
UGAGCAAUCUGCCUUUCAGAGGGGAUAACAGCCGGAAACGGCUGCUAAUACCGCAUAAUGCAUCGAAUUCGCAUGUUUUUGAUGCCAAAGAUUUUAUCGCUGAAAGAUGAGCUCGCGUCUGAUUAGCUAGUUGGCGGGGUAACGGCCCACCAAGGCGACGAUCAGUAGCCGGACUGAGAGGUUGAACGGCCACAUUGGGACUGAGACACGGCCCAGACUCCUACGGGAGGCAGCAUG